rnacentral:rRNA from 1 species
GUGCCAGCAGCCGCGGUAAGACGAACCGAGCGAACGUUGUUCGGAAUCACUGGGCUUAAAGGGCGCGUAGGCGGGCAUUCAAGUCUGUGGUGAAAUCCGGCAGCUCAACUGUCGAAUUGCCCUGGAAACUGGAUGUCUCGAGGGAGGUAGGGGUGCGCGGAACUGAUGGUGGAGCGGUGAAAUGCGUUGAUAUCAUCAGGAACUCCGGUGGCGAAGGCGGCGCACUGGACCUCUUCUGACGCUGAGGCGCGAAAGCCAGGGGAGCAAACGGGAUUAGAAACCCCGGUAGUCC